rnacentral:rRNA from 1 species
AGAGUUUGAUCCUGGCUCAGAACGAACGCUGGCGGCAGGCCUAACACAUGCAAGUCGAGCGCCCCGCAAGGGGAGCGGCGGACGGGUGAGUAACGCGUGGGAACGUGCCUCUUGCUACGGAAUAGCCUCGGGAAACUGGGAGUAAUACCGUAUAAGCCCUACGGGGGAAAGAUUUAUCGGCAAGAGAUCGGCCCGCGUUGGAUUAGGUAGUUGGUGGGGUAAUGGCCUACCAAGCCGACGAUCCAUAGCUGGUUUGAGAGGAUGAUCAGCCACACUGGGACUGAGACACGGCCCAGACUCCUACGGGAGGCAGCAGUGGGGAAUCUUAGACAAUGGGCGCAAGCCUGAUCUAGCCAUGCCGCGUGAGCGAUGAAGGCCUUAGGGUUGUAAAGCUCUUUCGUGGGGGAAGAUAAUGACUGUACCCCAAGAAGAAGCCCCGGCUAACUCCGUGCCAGCAGCCGCGGUAAUACGGAGGGGGCUAGCGUUGUUCGGAAUUACUGGGCGUAAAGCGCACGUAGGCGGACUGGAAAGUCAGAGGUGAAAUCCCAGGGCUCAACCUUGGAACUGCCUUUGAAACUCCCAGUCUUGAGGUCGAGAGAGGUGAGUGGAAU